AGUGAACGCUGGCGGUAGGCCUAACACAUGCAAGUCGAACGGCAGCACAGUAAGAGCUUGCUCUUACGGGUGGCGAGUGGCGGACGGGUGAGGAAUACAUCGGAAUCUACUUUUUCGUGGCGGAUAACGUAGGGAAACUUACGCUAAUACCGCAUACGACCUACGGGUGAAAGCAGGGGAUCUUCGGACCUUGCGCGAUUGAAUGAGCCGAUGUCGGAUUAGCUAGUUGGCGGGGUAAAGGCCCACCAAGGCGACGAUCCGUAGCUGGUCUGAGAGGAUGAUCAGCCACACUGGAACUGAGACACGGUCCAGACUCCUACGGGAGGCAGCAGUGGGGAAUAUUGGACAAUGGGCGCAAGCCUGAUCCAGCCAUACCGCGUGGGUGAAGAAGGCCUUCGGGUUGUAAAGCCCUUUUGUUGGGAAAGAAAAGCAGCAGGUUAAUACCCCGCUGUUCUGACGGUACUCAAAGAAUAAGCACCGGCUAACUUCGUG
rnacentral:rRNA from 1 species